AAAGGCCCUUCGGGGUACUCGAGUGGCGAACGGGUGAGUAACACGUGGGUGAUCUGCCCUGCACUCUGGGAUAAGCCUGGGAAACUGGGUCUAAUACCGGAUAGGACCACACACUUCAUGGUGAGUGGUGCAAAGCUUUUGCGGUGUGGGAUGAGCCCGCGGCCUAUCAGCUUGUUGGUGGGGUAAUGGCCCACCAAGGCGACGACGGGUAGCCGGCCUGAGAGGGUGACCGGCCACACUGGGACUGAGAUACGGCCCAGACUCCUACGGGAGGCAGCAGUGGGGAAUAUUGCACAAUGGGCGCAAGCCUGAUGCAGCGACGCCGCGUGAGGGAUGACGGCCUUCGGGUUGUAAACCUCUUUCAGUAGGGACGAAGCGAAAGUGACGGUACCUACAGAAGAAGGACCGGCCAACUACGUGCCAGCAGCCGCGGUAAUACGUAGGGUCCGAGCGUUGUCCGGAAUUACUGGGCGUAAAGAGCUCGUAGGUGGUUUGUCGCGUUGUUCGUGAAAACUCACAGCUUAACUGUGGGCGUGCGGGCGAUACGGGCAGACUAGAGUACUGCAGGGGAGACUGGAAUUCCUGGUGUAGCGGUGGAAUGCGCAGAUAUCAGGAGGAACACCGGUGGCGAAGGCGGGUCUCUGGGCAGUAACUGACGCUGAGGAGCGAAAGCGUGGGUAGCGAACAGGAUUAGAUACCCUGGUAGUCCACGCCGUAACGGUGGGUACUAGGUGUGGGUUUCCUUCCUUGGGAUCCGUGCCGUAGCUACGCAUUAAGUACCCCGCCUGGGGAGUACGGUCGCAAGACUAAAACUCAAGGAUUUGACGGGGCCCGCACAAGCGGCGGAGCAUGUGGAUUAAUUCGAUGCAACGCGAGAACCUUACCUGGGUUUGACAUGCACAGGACGUACCUAGAGAUAGGUAUCCUGU
rnacentral:rRNA from 1 species